CGGGCUAGCGCCUGUGGCUCCAUGGCUAGGGCGCCCGCCCCAUAUACCGAGGGUGGCAGGUUCAGCCCCAGCUAAACUGCAACAAAAGAAUAGCUGGGCGUUGUGGCCGACGCCUGUAGUCCCAGCUACUCGGGAGGCUGAGGCAAGAGAAUCGCGUAAGCCCAAGAGUUGGAGGGGGAGGCUGAGGCAAGAGAAUCAGUUGGAGGUUGCUGUGAGCUGUGACGCCACAACACCCUACCGCGGGCGACAGAGUGAGACUCUUAAAAAAAAAAAAAAAGGCUGAUAGGGGCCCCCACAGGGUGUUCACACUCUAUCUCCUGUAGGCUCCUGGUAAUUUCGACUAUUUAAUGAAGUCCUUUGUGGGAAAGCAGUUGGAUUUCAAUGAUUUCCUCUCUGGAGCUGGCCUAGGUGAGCCCUAAAUCCAAAGACAAGUGUGCAUAAGAGAGAGAAGAGGAGAAAAUGAAGACACAAAGGGGACGGCCAUGUGAGGACAACAGAGACCAAAAGGAUGCAGCCACAAGCUGAGGAACACCUGAGCUCCCUGAAGCUGAAAAGAAUGAAGAGGAAUUCUCCUCUAGCACCUGGGGAGGAUGUCAGAGCUGCCAGCACCUUGAUUGUGUACUCCUGGCCCCUCCAGAACCGUGAGAGAAUACAUUUUUAUUGUUUUUAAGCCAAGACAUUUGUGAUACUCUAUGAUGACGGCCCUAGGAACCAAUACAGUCUCUGUAAAACAAGGAUUAUCCUGCGUGGCGCUCAAGAGAUAGUUGUGAAGUGAGUGAAUGAAUAGUUCUAAUUUGCAGGGCUGAGCAGGGAUGCAAUAAGAUUGCAAGCAGGAAAAUUCCUUUAUAAAUCAUUGCCAUUCUUUGCCUAGGGCCUGUGAUUACCAUUAGUCUUUGUAGGCCUACACAGGAGCGUGAAUAACUUGAUCGUUGAACUAAGAAAGGAAAGGAGGCCGGCCACAAAAGAAGAGGGAAUGUGGGUAAAGGGAAAGAACUUAACAGAUGGCUAUCAUUUGGGUGGCCU